UCUCCGUUGGUGAACCAGCGGAGGGAUCAUUACAGGACUCGCAAGACUCCUUCACCCUGUGAACCUCUCUACAAGCACGUUGCUUCGGCGGGUGUCCCGGCGGGGGUUUUCCCUCGCCGGGGCGCACAGCCCGCCGGCAGCCUACUAUACUCUGUCUCUUUGCGUUGGCAUCUCGAGAAAAAACAAACAAGUUAAAACUUUCAACAACGGAUCUCUUGGUUCUG
rnacentral:misc_RNA from 1 species